rnacentral:rRNA from 1 species
UGCUUUUCCGCCGGCGACCGGCGCACGGGUGCGGAACGCGUAUGGAACCUGCCCCUGUCAGGGGAAUAGCCCAGGGAAACUUGGAUUAAUGCCCCAUGGUACCACGACAUCGCAUGAUGAUGUGGUUAAAGAUUUAUCGGACAGGGAUGGCCAUGCGUACCAUUAGUUAGUUGGUGGGGUAACGGCCCACCAAGGCAGCGAUGGUUAGGGGCCCUGAGAGGGGGAUCCCCCACACUGGUACUGAGACACGGACCAGACUCCUACGGGAGGCAGCAGUGAGGAAUAUUGGACAAUGGGCGGGAGCCUGAUCCAGCCAUGCCGCGUGCAGGAUGACGGCCCUAUGGGUUGUAAACUGCUUUUAUACGGGAAGAAAUGCGCCCACGUGUGGGCGUCUGACGGUACCGUAAGAAUAAGGACCGGCUAACUCCGUGCCAGCAGCCGCGGUAAUACGGAGGGUCCGAGCGUUAUCCGGAAUCAUUGGGUUUAAAGGGUCCGUAGGCGGGCCUGUAAGUCAGGGGUGAAAGUUUGUGGCUCAACCAUAAAAUUGCCUUUGAUACUGCAGGUCUUGAGUCAUGGUGGGGUCGCCGGAACAUGUGGUGUAGCGGUGAAAUGCAUAGAUAUCACAUAGAACACCGAUCGCGAAGGCAGG